UUCAUACUCUGGGGAUGGGUGUAAAUCCUUACCGGCGGUAAAGCCCGCGAGCCUUAUAAGGCAGAUUCGUUGAAACUACGAAGCCGACAGUUAAAGUCUGGAUGGGAAGAGUAAUAA
rnacentral:ncRNA from 2 species